rnacentral:rRNA from 1 species
GAGCGGGCGUAGCAAUACGUCAGCGGCAGACGGGUGAGUAACGCGUGGGAACGUACCUUUUGGUUCGGAACAACACAGGGAAACUUGUGCUAAUACCGGAUAAGCCCUUACGGGGAAAGAUUUAUCGCCGAAAGAUCGGCCCGCGUCUGAUUAGCUAGUUGGUGAGGUAACGGCUCACCAAGGCGACGAUCAGUAGCUGGUCUGAGAGGAUGAUCAGCCACAUUGGGACUGAGACACGGCCCAAACUCCUACGGGAGGCAGCAGUGGGGAAUAUUGGACAAUGGGCGCAAGCCUGAUCCAGCCAUGCCGCGUGAGUGAUGAAGGCCCUAGGGUUGUAAAGCUCUUUUGUGCGGGAAGAUAAUGACGGUACCGCAAGAAUAAGCCCCGGCUAACUUCGUG